rnacentral:rRNA from 1 species
GACAGAGGGUGCAAACGUUGUUCGGAAUUACUGGGCGUAAAGCGCGUGUAGGCGGCUUAGCAAGUCGGAUGUGAAAGCCCUGGGCUUAACCCAGGAAGUGCACUCGAAACUGCUGAGCUUGAGUUCUGGAGAGGAAGGCGGAAUUCUCGGUGUAGAGGUGAAAUUCGUAGAUAUCGAGAGGAACACCGGUGGCGAAGGCGGCUUUCUGGACAGUGACUGACGCUGAGACGCGAAAGCGUGGGGAGCAAACAGG